AAUCAACGCUGGCGGCGUGCCUCAGACAUGCAAGUCGAACGCGAAAUUUCCCUUCGGGGAGAAAGUAGAGUGGCGCACGGGUGAGUAACACGUAGGUAAUCUACCUUUGGAUGGGGAAUAACACCGAGAAAUCGGUGCUAAUACCGCAUAAUGCAGCGGCACCUAAUGGUGACAGUUGUUAAAGCGGGGGAUCGCAAGACCUCGCGUCUAAAGAGGAGCCUGCGGCGGAUUAGCUAGUUGGUAAGGUAAUGGCUUACCAAGGCGACGAUCCGUAACCGGCCUGAGAGGGCGGUCGGUCACACUGACACUGACAUACGGGUCAGACUCCUACGGGAGGCAGCAGUCGGGAAUUUUGGGCAAUGGGCGAAAGCCUGACCCAGCAACGCCGCGUGAAGGAUGAAAUCCCUCGGGAUGUAAACUUCGCAAGAACGGGAAGAAUAAGCCGGUGUGAAUACCACCGGCGAUGACGGUACCGUUUGUAAGCUCCGGCUAACUCCGUGCCAGCAGCCGCGGUAAGUAC
rnacentral:rRNA from 1 species